GCCAGGCAUGGUGGCACAUGCCUGUAGUCCCAGCUACUCGGGAGGCUGAGGUGGGAGGAUCGCUUGAGCCCAGGAGUUCUGGGCUGUAGUGAGCUAUGCCAAUCGGGUGUCCUCACUAAGUUCGGCAUCAAUAUGGUGACCUCCCGGUAGCGUGGAGCCACCAGGUUGCCUAAGGAGGGGUGAACCAGCUCAGGUCAGAAAUAGAGCAGGUCAAACUCUCAUGCUGAUCAGUAAUGGGAUCGCACCUGUGAACAGCAACUGCACUCCAGCCUGGGCAACAUAGUGAGACCCUAUCUCUA
ensembl:misc_RNA Metazoa_SRP Metazoan signal recognition particle RNA